rnacentral:rRNA from 1 species
UAGCGUAUAUUAAAGUUGUUGCGGUUAAAAAGCUCGUAGUUGGAUUUCUGUUGAAGGCAGCCGGUCCGCUCUCAGAGCGUGUAUCUGGUUUGACUUCGGCAUCCUCUCAAAAACGUUUCUGUGCUUUGUUGCAUGGAGCGGGGUUUGAGACUUUUACUUUGAGGAAAUUAGAGUGUUCACGGCAGGCAAUCGCCCUGAAUAUAUUAGCAUGGAAUAAUAAUAUAGGAUCUUGGUUCUAUUUUGUUGGUUUCUAGGGCUAAGAUAAUGAUUAAUAGGGACAAUUGGGGGCAUUCGUAUUAACGCGUC